UGGGGAAUUUUGGACAAUGGGCGAAAGCCUGAUCCAGCAAUGCCGCGUGUGUGAAGAAGGCCUUCGGGUUGUAAAGCACUUUUGUCCGGAAAGAAAUCCUUGGCUCUAAUACAGUCGGGGGAUGACGGUACCGGAAGAAUAAGCACCGGCUAACUACGUGCCAGCAGCCGCGGUAAUACGUAGGGUGCAAGCGUUAAUCGGAAUUACUGGGCGUAAAGCGUGCGCAGGCGGUUUGCUAAGGCCGAUGUGAAAUCCCCGGGCUCAACCUGGGAACUGCAUUGGUGACUGGCAGGCUAGAGUAUGGCAGAGGGGGGUAGAAUUCCACGUGUAGCAGUGAAAUGCGUAGAGAUGUGGAGGAAUACCGAUGGCGAAGGCAGCCCCCUGGGCCAAUACUGACGCUCAUGCACG
rnacentral:rRNA from 1 species